rnacentral:rRNA from 1 species
UACGGAGGGGGCUAGCGUUGUUCGGAAUUACUGGGCGUAAAGCGCACGUAGGCGGCUUUGUAAGUUAGAGGUGAAAGCCCGGGGCUCAACCCCGGAAUUGCCUUUAAGACUGCAUCGCUUGAACGUCGGAGAGGUGAGUGGAAUUCCGAGUGUAGAGGUGAAAUUCGUAGAUAUUCGGAAGAACACCAGUGGCGAAGGCGGCUCACUGGACUGGUAUUGACGCUGAGGUGCGAAAGCGUGGGGAGCAAACAGG